CCUACGGGGAGCAGCAGUGAGGAAUAUUGGUCAAUGGACGAGAGUCUGAACCAGCCAAGUAGCGUGAAGGAUGACUGCCCUAUGGGUUGUAAACUUCUUUUAUAUGGGAAUAAAACAGGGUAUGCAUACCCUCUUGUAUGUACCAUAUGAAUAAGGAUCGGCUAACUCCGUGCCAGCAGCCGCGGUAAUACGGAGGAUCCGAGCGUUAUCCGGAUUUAUUGGGUUUAAAGGGAGCGUAGGUGGAUUGUUAAGUCAGUUGUGAAAGUUUGCGGCUCAACCGUAAAAUUGCAGUUGAAACUGGCAGUCUUGAGUCCGCGGAAAGCAGGCGGAAUUCGUCGUGUAGCGGUGAAAUGCUUAGAUAUGACGAAGAACCCCGAUUGCGAAGGCAGCUUGCUGCAGCGGAACUGACGCUGAUGCUCGAAAGCGCGGGUAUCGAACAGGAUUAGAUACCCUAGUAGUC
rnacentral:rRNA from 1 species